UUGGAUGGUAGUGUAUUGGACUAACAUGGCUAAAACGGGUGACGGAGGAUUAGGGUCUGAUUCCGGAGAGGGAGCCUGAGAAAUGGCUACCACUUCUAAGGAAGGCAGCAGGCGCGCAAAUUACCCAAUCCCGAUACGGGGAGGUAGUGACAAGAAAUACCAAUACCUGACCUUAGGGUCUGGUAAUUGGAAUGAGAACAAUAUAAACCCUUUAACGAGGAACAAUUGGAGGGCAAGUCUGGUGCCAGCAGCCGCGGUAAUACCAGCUCCAAUAGCGUAUAUUAACGUUGCUGCAGUUAAAAGGCUCGUAGUCGAACUUAUGGUCUUGUAGGUCCUGCCUAACAACUAGUUUGUUGGUGCUAGGUACUUACAGAUCAUCCUUCUGGAGAGUGCUUCUUCCCUUGAUUGGGUGGUUGUACAAUUCAGAUCAUUUACUGUGAGUAAAUCAGAGUGUUCAAGGCAGGCUUUUAAGCUUGUAUGCAUUAGCAUGGAAUAAUAAUUUAGGACUUCGGUUCUAUUUUGUUGGCCUAGAAUUGAAGUAAUGAUUAAAAGGGAUAGUUGGGGGUGCUAGUAUUUAACGGUCAGCGGUGAAAUGCGUAGACCCGUUAAAGACUAACUCAUGCGAAAGCAUUCACCAAGGAUAUCUUCUUUGAUCAAGAACGAAAGUUGGGGGAUCAAAGACGAUCAGAUACCGU
rnacentral:rRNA from 1 species